rnacentral:rRNA from 1 species
CUCGCACCGCGACCCCAGGUCAGGCGGGACCACCCGCCGAGUUUAAGCAUAUAAAUAAGCGGAGGAGAAGAAACUUACGAGGAUUC